AAUGCAAAAUUUUAUUUCUCUUACUUGAAAAAAAGUUACAAUUUGAACAGCAAAUUGACAAAGAAUAGUUACAAUUUGAAUGAAUAUAAUCAUGCAAACAAAGACUAUUCUGUGCUUCGCUGGAGCGCUGCAUUGCACAAGAAGACAGCUUUGGUGCGGGCAGGUUUGAGUUUGCUGCUACCAGAGUCCUUCAGUUUUUAUACGAACAUUGUUACUGUGACGCUCUGAAUGUGGUCGCAGCAAAUACGCAAUGUUAAAACUGUCGACGAUUCUUCGUAAUUUCCGCGUCCAUCAGCGAUUCAACUGAAAAGGACUUCAGGCUUUAGGCCUUUUUCAUAUUUUCUUUAGGACAUUUUCUCAAAUUUUUCAUAUUGUAUAUAUAUUUAUAUGCUUGUAUCAUUAUAUGCUUCAUAUUGUAUCUUAUAAGUAUAUAUGCUUGUAUUUUUGUUCUGGUUACACCUUUAAUGUUCUGACGGAACUUCCGAGUUCCGAAAGUGCCAU